ACCCCAGAUGCUUUUCAAACUGCUGUUCCUAUGCUAUCUCUUUAAGGGCAAGGCCUCAGUUUCCUAUUCCCUCUGCCUCUCACAGAGCUAAGCUCACUGAUUUUUUUUUUUUGAUUUGUAAAUUCUUUAUUUUGGCUAAUAUUGACUGCCUUCAUUACUACCACAGAUUUAUUAUAGCUGAGAGGAAUUAUUCACUAGAUAUUCUGUUGUUAUUAAACACCAAAAAUUAGGAAGAGAUGGGAGGGCUUUUAGAAAGGGAUAAGGAGAGGAGGGAAGAAGCUCAAGGGAGAACACAAGGUCCUGCUCAGCCUGGUUGUCAGGAAAUGAGUCACCACAUCAGAUCUAACUGAAAUGCCAGUCUCUCUGAAAGGGCUUUCAGGAAAAAGGUGCGUUAACAAUUAUUCACCGGACAAACCAAAAGGUCAAUGAAUGUUUCUAGAAAAGAUCUUGGCAUGAAAGACCCAUCUAAGGAACAGUUCUACAUAGCACCAUGACAGAGCUGGGACAUCAAUUAAGACGUUAUUAUGGACACAGCAAUCUCUAGAGGCUAACUCUCACUCACAGAUGUAUGUGAUGUUUUAUGGCAUAAAGAUGUUGUAGACGGUUCUCACGUAGAUGUCAUCUGGAGGAGGCUUCUUCUUGCUGCCAGGUUCCAGGAAUUUCUUAAUUGUUGGGAUAUUACUUAUUUUCACUGUGAACUCCUGGAGAUGAGGAAAUGCAGACAGGAUAUUGGGGAUUUUCUCUUCUAGAGCCAAAAUGGUUUGGAGUAGAAUCACGUCCGCAAGGCUCAGCUGGUUACCAACGAGAAACCUUUGCCCAUGAUCCCUUAAAACCUUAAAACACAGGAAAGUAUCUAAUUAUAGCCUUCUGGGCCAUGUUAACUACUUCCUUUUUUGAUCAUCUGGUUUUAGAAAAGGAUGCAUGAUAAUCAGUUCCAGCAGAUCUAGCGUCCCCUCCACGUACAUGUCAAUCACCGCUAUGUAGUGGAGGAUGCUUCGGGUCUGCACCAACUUCAUUCCAUCAAUUUCGACCAUUGGCACUUGUUGGAACAGCAGGUGAUUUCCAUCCUGCAACUUCUGCAACUGUUCUUUUGUUUCUAAGAAUUCUUCAUCAAACUCGACUCCAGCGGCAGCUAAAACCCAUCUUACGGAUUCCGUCCGGCCUCUUCUGUUAGGAUAGUGGAGUUUGGGCUUCGCUGCCAUGAUGGCCUUUCAGGCUUUCUGGAGUCCGCUCGGAGCUCCCGGAGCCGUACAAAGCACUCGGCGAGCAGUCUGCAGCC
rnacentral:lncRNA from 1 species